rnacentral:misc_RNA from 1 species
UUAAGUUCAGCGGGUAUUCCUACCUGAUCCGAGGUCAACCUUGAGUUAAAGAUGGUCUUUAACGGCAGGAGCGCGCCGCAACGUCCCUAGCGAGAUAAUGAAUUACUACGCUCGGAGUUGUAGCGAGCCCGCCACUUCCUUUCAGGGCCUACGGCAGCCGUAGGGCCCCAACACCAAGCAGGGCUUGAGGGUUGAAAUGA